CACAGGUCCUCAACUGGCAGCUUCAUUAAAUAGCAGCCACAACACACCAGUAUCAACAAGGAAGGGGUGAAAAUCUGCCGUUUCCAGGAGAACAUUGAGGGAAACAUCAGACAUGUUUCAUCAGACAUGUCAUAACAGGAUGCACCAGGGAUGGAUCCAGCUGAUUACUGGCAAUUUGAAAGAGGCCUGCAGAGGACUUUAUCUGCUAUGUGUCACUGUCACUUCUGGUUCAGUGUGAUAGUGAAACAUAGCAGAUAGCUUUAGACUGUUCAUGGUUGCCACAUAUAAAAGAAGACCUA